AUGCAUGGUAAGGAAGAAGAAGCAGAAGCAGAAACAGUGCCUAGGCUAGAAGAAGCACAGCUGCAGCUAGGCAUAUCUGAAACCUAUCACCCUCGAACAACCAGACUGCAUCUUCUGAAGAAAUGGCCACUUGUCAUGCUGUUAACUGAAGAAAUCAACACCCAGCGGUCAGGUCGCGCCAAACCAGGCUCAUCUUCGAGAGCCCUGGAGCUCAUCUUCCUCUACUUGGGAUGUAACAUGGAACGGAGGGUACGGACCUGCCUGUUGGUGAAAAUAAAUGGCCGGCUUCUUCUCAGCAGAAGAAAGAAUGCUUCUCAUCUCAGCUGGGUUGCUUCAUGUCCUGGCCUUGAGUUGUAUUCCGGAAAUCCUAUUCCAGACUGUAGGGUCUUGAGAAGAUGCUCCUGA
rnacentral:rRNA from 1 species